UGUCGUUGUUUCUUUCAUUCCUAUUCUCUCUCUCUCUCUCUCACACACACACACACUAUCUCUCUCUCUCUCUCCCACACACACAGACAUCCUUCCAAGAACUCUUUGUACACAGAAGAAAAGAUGGAGGACGUCUAAGAUGAAGCAAGCAAUAUAAUACUUGAGAGAGAUAACUUCUAUGGUUGUGGAAGAGUUAAUGGUCUGCUAUUUCCGGAACCACUCAAUUUUAAUUGGCAGAUCUUAUUUCAUAAGUGCCUCCAAGAGUCCAACAGUUUAAUUUCCACGAAAAGGUCAACAAAACCAUCCGAUCUAUAAAUUACAUUGCCACAUUCAUUAUGUACCGUGUGAUUUACUAGACUCCGGUUUGAUGACCAUGACAUGCAGCCUUCUUCCCUGCAAUUCUAUGUGUGAAAACUUAAUUUUGAUCAAGGGACUUUGGCAUAACAGCAGGCAGAAGAGAGUUAGGAAGGCAGCGGCUCGAUGAUUCAAUCUCCGCUGAGAUUGGUGCUCUAUGUAAUGGGUUCUUGUGGUGUUGCCUCUAUGGGUAGUUCUCUUGGAGGUACUUGUCGGGAAGGUGGUGGUGGAGGGGAAGGCAGAAGUAGUACCGAAAAAUUGAAAUUAAGUGGCUUCGGAAAGAGCACACCAUUAACUUUCCAACCACCAUAAAAGUUAUCUCUCUCAAGUAUAGUUUCCAUCUACAAGGUAAAAUUAAAUAUAUUUUAGAUUUUGUAAAAAACUGUAAAAUCGAAU